AGCGAACGCUGGCGGCAGGCCUAACACAUGCAAGUCGAACGAACUCUUCGGAGUUAGUGGCGGACGGGUGAGUAACACGUGGGAACGUGCCUUUUGGUUCGGAAUAACUCAGGGAAACUUGUGCUAAUACCGAAUGUGCCCUUCGGGGGAAAGAUUUAUCGCCAUUAGAGCGGCCCGCGUUUGAUUAGCUAGUUGGUGAGGUAACGGCUCACCAAGGCGACGAUCAGUAGCUGGUCUGAGAGGAUGACCAGCCACACUGGGACUGAGACACGGCCCAGACUCCUACGGGAGGCAGCAGUGGGGAAUCUUGCGCAAUGGGCGAAAGCCUGACGCAGCCAUGCCGCGUGAAUGAUGAAGGUCUUAGGAUUGUAAAAUUCUUUCACCGGGGACGAUAAUGACGGUACCCGGAGAAGAAGCCCCGGCUAACUUCGUG
rnacentral:rRNA from 1 species